GAAAAGAGAAAAGAGAAACGAGAGAAAAGAGAGAAAAGAAAGACUUUCUUUCGAACCUCUCUCGAGAAGAGCUUCUUUUUUUUUCUUGUUUGUUCUUU
rnacentral:ribozyme from 13 species